rnacentral:lncRNA from 1 species
CGGGCUCUUCUCAGUCUCCCAGUGGACUAUACCCACACACAAAUCCUGUGAAAUUCUUAUGUAAAGCAGUCUUACCCAGCCAACUCUCUCUCCUCAUAUUUUAGACUAAAUAGCUUUAUUAGGUGUGUUUCUAAACAGUUCCUGAGAUGAGUUCCGUAAUUAGCUUUUACCUGGCUUUUAUCUUGUAGAAAAGAAGCAAGGAGGGAUAGCGAGAGAAUAGAAAAAAGGAAGGAAAAAUGGGAGGAUGGAAGAAAAGUCUUCAGAAACCAGCCCACUUAGGACUUACAGAAAACCUGAUCAUGUGAAGUAAGUAUAUUAGAAGGAGGAUUUUGCACAAAGAGUAAGUGAACUUCGUAUUUUGAUUUUCAUUUCCAAUAGAUAUUUUUAAUACUUGAGUGACUGAGUAAAAAGUUAAAUAUAUAAAUGAUGGCAUGUCCUUAGAAGUCAUGUAUUAUUAUAAGGGUAAAUAAGAA